UACGUAGGGUGCAGGCGUUAAUCGGAAUUACUGGGCGUAAAGCGUGCGCAGGCGGUCUUUUAAGUCAGAUGUGAAAUCCCCGGGCUUAACCUGGGAAUUGCACUUGAAACUACGAUGCUGGAGUAUGGCAGAGGGAGGUGGAAUUCCACGUGUAGCGGUGAAAUGCGUAGAGAUGUGGAGGAACACCGAUGGCGAAGGCAGCCUCCUGGGCCAAUACUGACGCUCAUGCACGAAAGCGUGGGGAGCAAACAGG
rnacentral:rRNA from 1 species